rnacentral:misc_RNA from 1 species
CAACCCUCAGGCACAGCCUGGUGUUGGGUCGCCACCGCUUGGUGGGCCCCUAAAUCUAGCGGCGAGCGUCCCCUGGACCCGAGCGUAGUAGCAUACCUCGCUUAGGGCGCCGGGAGCGGUUCCAGCCGUUAAACCCCAAAACUUUAAAA